GUGCUUUAUGAGAAUGCCGGAAUCAGAGUUCGCCAAAAUGACGUUAAAUGGUCUGUAUUUUAAAAUAAAAGAUUAUUUUGAAGAUAAGUAUUUUUCUAACCUACUUGAUCUAGGUGUUCGAGUUGCCCAAUAUGAGCAAUUUUGGAAGGAAAGUGAGGACAAUCGGCUGCAAUGGAGCCGAUAUAAAAAGUAAAACAAAGACAAAGAGAAAUCUUUGAUAGAAGAACA
rnacentral:lncRNA from 1 species